rnacentral:snRNA from 1 species
AUGCUGACCUAGCAUGGGAGAUACUAUGAUGACAAAUGUAGUUCCCUAGUAUGAGGCUCAUCCACCACGCUCCAGGUAUAUUGACCCCUUUUAUCUCCCCAAAUAUAGAAAAAUCAACCAUGUAGUAUGGUGGUAGUGAGAGGCUGCAUUCAUGCUCUCUCUAU